CUCCGAUGCUUGUUGUCAUCUGUUUACUCCUAUGUAAUCACUUAAGUUGUUAUUAACUGCUGCAUGCUAAGCUGCAAGAGUGCACUGAGGACUGAGACAAAAUAUGGUCUACAAACCAGCAUUAUAUUAGUUUUUAUCAGAUAGUCCUCCAGUGUGUUUAAUUUUUGCUUUAAUUCUAUUGUGCAGUUAUUUGUUACCCUGAAAUGCUUUAUGCUUAACAACAGCUCACUAUUUUGACUUAUUUUUGAACUCUUGUGAUCAGUAUGACUAGAUUGUGUGAGUUUCCAUACUAAAAGAGCUGUAGUGAUAAAAUAACUGGCAUCAGAGACACUGGUUUUUGGCAUGGUAUACUGCAGAAGUUUUUUUUUUUUGCAUAAUUUACCUUUUAAUUAAACUGCAUUCUCUGUAUUGUAACAAAACUAACAUUGUUUAUAUGUCAGAAAAUUAGCAAACAUGAAUAAAUGGCAAAAACAAUAUAAUUAUAACAUAUAUUUUUAUUUUACUUAUUUUAGGUCUGUGAAGCCAAACUUGAUGCUGGGGAUUUAUUUUUGUCAGUGGAGUCAAAUGGUCUAGAUGAUCACAUCUGUCUUUGUCAUUUAAAUGAGGUGGACUUGCAAACUUUGCGCUCUUUUGGGUUGAAGCAGAAUUUGCCCGUCUUACAUCUGUUGACCUGAAAGGGUUCCUUUUUGCUGUGCUUGACCAUUAUGGAGAGGUUCGUGGAGCUGUACAAAAUCAAGAGCGGCAUAGGAGGGCUAACUAGGCUCAUAAGAUGCUUCGGAGAUGAUAGCCCUACACAAAGGAAGAGGACAGAGGGCCUCAUUUUCUAAAGGAAGAGCCCUCACACACUUUCAAGACUGUGAAGCCGACAGGUAUUGAAGACACGUUUUCUAAGAGGAUGAAAGUUGGCAUUGUGAUGGUGAAAGAAGAAGACAUCAUCGAUGUGUUGGUCGUCC
ensembl:lncRNA